AAAUAUGCAAUCAACGAUCUUAAUCAACACAUAUUAAUAGAGUGUGAUUAAAAUUACAUUCAAUCAAUCAAAUAAACUGGAGUAUAUUUAAUCAUUGAUCAUCAGCAAAACAAACAAACUUGUACAUGCCUGCCGCCGCCGCUUCUUCUUCUUAAGCGGAGUCACAGCAGCAGCUCUCGCCAUCAGAGGCUGGUGUUUGAGAGAUCCUGACCGAAUUCGAUAACUCAUCACGGCAUCUGCCACCGUCGAUUCAGUUGAAUCAGAGCUUCUGACAUAUGAACUAGCGAUCGUUUGGCGGAAAAUGCUUGCCGCAACCUUCUCUUCUGAGCAAAACCUCUCAUAUUCAAGGUCCGGUUGUGAGAACUGUCACUAUUGAACAGGAGUGCUCAAGCAGAGAUAUAUCUCGGAGUAGUAUGGCUGAGGCUUCAGAAAAUUCAGGCAACCGGUGGCUGUUACCACUGAAGCUCACUGAUGGACAUUCUGAAAUAACUGCAAUGGAGUAGUACUCUCAUGUGCUGUCAUUUCCUGCUGAUAUUAGCCUCGGGACAAGGGACAUCCUUAAAUGAUCAUCGACGAAGUCUUGCUGCAAGGGUGAAUGCUCCAAGUCCAAUUUGAGUCAGACUGUCCAGCUUCAGAAAAAUAAUGCAACUACAGAUGGUUUAACUGAUGGAGUAAAGCCGCUUCACACAACUGAAGGAAAUCCUGAGAAAGCAACUGCCUCAGAAAGACCAAAAGGUAGACUUAAUGCAGCCUCUGGGUCUUUGGUAGAACUUCUAUAGCGUUGCAUAAAAGUUAUGUUUUGAUUCAGCCUUCUCAGAAUCAACUUGUAUGCACUCUGGUGUUGUAGAUGAUGGAUCAACCCCAACAUUACCUUCCUGUUAAAGUUUCAAAUAUUAAUUUUCUGAUUGUGAAUUCUGGUGCUUAUACCACAGUAAGUUACCUAUUACAGUAGUGACAUCUGUACCUGUUCAAAAUCAAGUGUUUGCCCAGAAACUUCUACAGAAGACAAGUCACCCUAGUUUUGGCGAUCGCAAUCCUAAAUUUCAGAGGCGUAUGGGAAAGGAUACUGAAGACGACUUAUCUUUGCUCACACUUGAUGAGUGGGAAACGAGGAUGAGUGGAAGUGGUCCCCAAAGCAUCACCAUUACACUCAAGAUGAGGAGCUUACAAGACAGCUGUAGAAGCAAUUUGAUUUGAAGGGAAAUCAUGUAAUCAUUUCUUGCCCAACAAUAUUUUAUAUGGAGUGCACCAUUCUGGUUAUCUUGAUGAUUGCAUCAAACCUUAUUUAUGUUUUCUGUUGCUAUAGUCACCAUCAGCAUAGCCGGAGUGUCCAUGAUCCAUAUAACAUGCCUAUAGAUUUUCCAGUUUUUGUAUUUAAACUCAUAUUAUGUGCUAUACAUUUAGGUACAAAACUGUCCUCGUAUGAUGGAUGCUAAAAGUAUAAAAAUGAUCAUGUUCAGUUUCAAAAUAGAUGACACUGGAGCUUCCGGUCGAACUGAUGCUAAAAGUAUAAAGAUGAGCAUGUUCAGUUUCGAAAGAGAUGGCUGUAGCUUCCGCUCGAACGAUUCAGGGGAAGCAGAAGAGGAUGAGGAAGAGGAAGAGGAAAGAGAUACUGAAGCACAGGUAGAGUUCAAUGUAAAUUCGCUGUUCAGCUUCUUCACCUUCUAAUCUGUUAUUUGCAAAUAAUUUAGAAAAAAAUCUUGGAAUUAUGCGUCUGAGUUUUUUGCUUUAGUGGUUAUAGCUAACAUUUCUGUGAUGUUUGUUUGUUUUUAUUAACUCAUAAGCAUCCUUAAUUUGCAAAUAAUCUGUGGUUGCACUACAUAUCUAAAUUAAAGGGUCCACUUCAAUCCACCUCUCUCUCUAGAUAGAAAACUUGAGGUAACUUUCAUGAGUUUACUUGAUUUACUUAUAUCUAUUGAACUAUAAAGUGUGUUACUUAAAGUUCAAUCUUGACUCUUUUUUGUAGCACGGCAUAGGAUCCAACUUUAAAAGUCGUUGUCGUGGUGACUGCUUUUGAGGGAAUUUUUACACUCCCGUUGGUGUUGAAUUUAAUUCUCCAUUCUUUAGCUUCAAUUUUACACUUUUCAUGAUGAAAGCUUUAACCAAACAUGUGUUGUCGUUCAAGGUUUUACAUUUUCUUUUGUCCUUUCUCUUUAGCUUUUCUCACCAAAUUCCUUAACGAGGAAGGGACAUCUUGCCAGAAAAGGAUAGAAAUGAGAGAAGGGGCCAAUCCAAAUUCAGCAAAGCAGUUAUAAUGUUGAGCGACAGAUUGACAAUGGAGAAUGUAUGUCACUGUGUCCACACUACAUGUGCUUUGGCCAAAGGAGAUACACUUAUGGAAAAUAUCAAAUUUUAGGAUUAAAAAAAAAGGCACAUGGGUCAAAAGCAUGUGACAUCAAUAGUGUAAUGUAUGGGCGAGGAGCGUUAUUAUUAGUACACUAUUUUAAAAAAGAAAAAGUUAGGGCACAUUUCAUAGAGAUACAUAGAGGAUAAAGUAGCAUCAUCUCUUCUAUUCUUUCCAUUUCAUUUGCUACA